GACGGGGGGGGCAAGUGUUCUUCGGAAUGACUGGGCGUAAAGGGCGCGUAGGCGGUGAAUCGGGUUGAAAGUGAAAGUCGCCAAAAACUGGCGGAAUGCUCUCGAAACCAAUUCACUUGAGUGAGACAGAGGAGAGUGGAAUUUCGUGUGUAGGGGUGAAAUCCGGAGAUCUACGAAGGAACGCCAAAAGCGAAGGCAGCUCUCUGGGUCCCUACCGACGCUGGGGUGCGAAAGCAUGGGGAGCGAACAGG
rnacentral:rRNA from 1 species